UGAAGUUGCGGAUGCCAAAGAGUUGUUGAAAAGUUUUGUUUUUGAUUCUUUCUUGCGCAAUGUACGUGAAAUUAUGAAAAACGUACGUCGUGUUGCUUCCCUUAAAAGGUUUAUUCAUCAAGCAGCUACAGGAACAAUAAGGGUUAAUGAAAGGUUGACAAUCAAGAGAGCCAUCUCCAAAUUUAUCAAUUUGAAAAUGAAACAAGUGAAAAUCAUGACCAAACUGACAGAGAGGUGAAAACCCCACUCCCCUUUGAAGGGCAUCAUCUGCCAGCUGAAGGAAACUUUACCUUCGUCACCUUACACUACAGAAAUAAAAAACGACUUCCACCAAAACCUCGUCUUUAUGGAAAUAAUCCAUUAUUAACAAGAUCAGCCACCAACAGCUGAGUGACCUGAAUCUAAUCUAUGCCGACGAUUUCCGGUUGUUUGGAUAUCCGCACUAGAAGACAACGGAAGAGACAUUUUCAGUCGGGACGGAUGCGAGGGAGGGCGGAAUAUUUUCCCAAGAGAAAAAGAACAGCCAGGAAUGUUACGACAGUAUCGAGAUCUGAAUGUG